CUGACCGUAAACGAUGCCAACUAGCGAUCCGUCGGUGGCUCCAAGGCCCUGAUGGGGAGCUUCCCGGAAACGAAAGUCUUCCGGUUCCGGGGGAAGUAUGGUUGCAAAGCUGAAACUUAAAGGAAUUGACGGAAGGGCACCACCAGGAGUGGAGCCUGCGGCUUAAUUUGACUCAACACGGGAAAACUCACCCGGCCCGGACACCGUGAGGAUUGACAGAUUGAUAGCUUUUUCAUGAUUCGGUGGUUGGUGGUGCAUGGCCGUUCUUAGUUCGUGGAUCGAUUUGUCUGGUUUAUUCCGAUAACGAGCGAGACUCCAGCCUACUAACUAGUGCGGGAAUUGCCACUGUUCCCUUGCACUUCUUAGAGGGAUUGGCUGCGUCUAGCGGCACGAAACGGAGCAAUAACAGGUCUGUGAUGCCCUUAGAUGUCCGGGGCUGCACGCGCGCUACACUGGCAAAGGCAGCGUGCUUGUCCGUCUCCGAAAGGAGUCGGUAAACCCUUGAAAAUUUGCCGUGAUUGGGAUCGGAAAUUGCAAUUAUUUUCCGUGAACGAGGAAUUCCUAGUAAGUGCGAGUCAUCAGCUCGCGUUG
rnacentral:rRNA from 1 species